rnacentral:rRNA from 1 species
GAGAAAUCAUUAGGCGGAGUGACUUUUUGUAGGGGGAUGUUGCUUUGGUUUGGCCUAGGAAUAAGUUGGGCCAGAAGUUUCAUAAAACCCAAUUCAAUUAUUUUUAUUGAUACUCAAAUUUUCAACUACUCUUCCCCCGUUCCAACACUGGAUCUCUUGGUUCUCGCAUCGACGAAGAACGCAGCGAACUGCGACACCUAAUAUGAAUUGCCGACUUCCGUGAAUCAUCGAAUCUUUGAACGCACAUUGCGCCCUCUGGUAUUCCAGAGGGCAUGCCUGUUUGAGCGUCAUUUCUCUCUCAAACCCCCGGGUUUGGUAUUGAGUGCUACUCACAGUCGAACUAGGCGUUUGCUUGAAAAGUAUUGGCAUGGGUAGUACUGGAUAGUGCUGUCGACCUCUCAAUGUAUUAGGUUUAUCCAACUCGUUGAAUGGUGUGGCGGGAUAUUUCUGGUAUUGUUGGCCCGGCCUUACAACAACCAAACAAGUUUGACCUCAAAUCAGGUAGGAAUACCCGCUGAACUUAAGCAUAUCAAUAAGCGGAGGAACACAUUACAAUAAAGCGGAGGAGCGCUCAAUGAGCGGCGAAAAACUUUAACGAGCGGAGGUUUGAUAUCGAACUCCGGAGUGGUUUGGCCUAAGAUGGGUGAGGCAUAGGUUAAACAAACACAUUUUAUUAUUUUAUGGAUGACAAUUUGACUACCACAAACUUUCACACGGAGGUUGGUUCUGCAAGAGAGAGAA